rnacentral:misc_RNA from 1 species
GCACCUACCGAUUGAAUGGUUCGGUGAAAAUCUCGGACUGCGGCUUGGAUGCCUUCGGGCAACCAAGCUGUGGAAAGUUGUUUAAACCUCAUCACUUAGAGGAAGGAGAAGUCGUAACAAGGUUUCCGUAGGUGAACCUGCAGAAGGAUCAAGAUCGGACGAGCGUCGUGUAGGGUAAGAUUUUAGUUCUCGGUGUUCGCCUUAUCAUUAACAAAACCACAGCACACAUAAGUCACAUCACGUGUCUCGACAGUUUAGCCACACGUAGUGCACUAC